ACACUGUGCUAAAGAAACACUGUGCUAAAGAAACACUGUGCUAAAGAAACACUGUGCUAAAGAAACACUGUGCUAAAGAAACACUGUGCUAAAGAAACACUGUGCUAACAAGCAACAUCACAUAGACAAUAACCCACCAACCACGAUACAAAACAGGCUACCUAAAUAUGGUUCCCAAUCAGAGACAACGACAAACACCUGCCACUGAUUGAGAACCAUAUCAAGCCAAAACACAUAGAAAUAGACAAACUAGACAGACAAUAUAGAAUGCCCACUCAUAUCACACCCUGACCAAACAAAACAUAGAAACAAACAACUCAAAUCAUGGUCAGAGUGUGACAACAGUAGGCGAUAUCCCAGUGUGGAUACAACACCCCUUUGUGGGACCACUAAUUAGGCAAUAUUUUGAUAAUGGUAUGGGUUUCGCUGUUCAUAUAGACAGGGUUUGAAAUCUAAAAACAGCGCUAACCGGUUUUCGUAAUCUGUCUCAUCGGUCUCUGUAUCUUUUGUUUGUUUUCUGUGAAUGUGAUAUGAGAGUUGUGUGAGGGUAGAAAAAUGUUCAUCUUAAAUUUGGAUUAAACGAUGUAGAAACGUGUAUAAUAAGCUCAUUUACAUUUUGGAUAAUACGUUUCGAUAUGUGGCGUUAUCUUGGGGUUCCGUCCAUCACUGCCCAUCAUAGAAUAUCACAGGGUGGUGUUGAGUGCGGGGACGUUAUUUUAGAAUAAUGGUGGCAAGUGUAUCACUUGUGGACGUCUAAGAAACUGUUGAGGAUAUGUGUAGAGCAUUAUUUCCAUAUGGCAGCGUUUUUGGGGUCCGCUGGGAGUGUAUGGAUGGAGAGUCGUUGGAAACGUACAUGGAGUGGUUAAUUAAUAUUGGAUCUGCUGGAUGAUCGGGAUAAUUUCCUGAUCCUGUGACUCUGCGAUGAGGUUGACAGUGCCAAAAGGGGAGUAUAAGCCAAUUUGGAAAACAUUUUCAACCGAAUGUGAUUUUAUUUUCUUAGGAUUUUGUUUUAGAAAUGUGUAUUAAGAAUAUGGGUAAAAGUAAUAAUUUCAGGAUUUCCUGAAUCAGAAAUUAACUGAACUAAACUAUUGUUUUGAUCUGUCCUUUCUUGAGAUUUUGGAUUGUGACUACAGAUGGUAUCUAGAUGCAUGAAAGGGAUAAUUUGACCAAAUGGUCUGGACCUCAAAACCCCCUCUAACCGGCUGAAGAAAUUAGGUUCAAUCCAGCCCUGUAUUUCUAUCGAGAGACGUGAGUCUGAGCCAGCAACCGGUGUACAGCAUCCAGUUGAAGCAAUUGUAAGAAUAUGUCAACAAUAAAUACAUAACGCAGAGACAGAGGACAAGAAGUCAAUAGAGUAAUAACGAUUAAGGGAAAUAGUGUUUUUUCUGUAAUAGGGAAUUAUUGAUCAGUGGUUCAGAGACAUGGGAGGAAUAUGUCUUCUGAAAUACACUCAGGCUGAGUUGCACAAGGAUGAUCGGGUUUCAAGCAUCUGGUGAACUAUGUCUUAGGCCAACCAGAACACAGGCUGUAAAAGGUGAUAAAGACAAACCUCUGGUGAUAGUAAUCACACAACUCAGAACAACCGUGAACAUGGUGUAGUUGAAGAAAAGGUUUAUAGAGCUGUGGGUUGUGAAGAGCAAGAUGUGGCCGAUGGAUGGAGAGCCAUACAUGUUUUCCUAAAUUAAGGGUCUGACCAAUGCAACCACCAAUUGGGGAGAGAUAACCAAAUGUGUUCAAAAACCGAAAUAACCGUUUGUUGAAUUUGAAGACAGGUUUAUAGCAGAUGUGUCGGUUACCUGACAUGGAAGAUGAAGAUACACUCAAUCCCUGAUGAUGAUUUGCGAAAAACUUUUGUUUCCACAAGUAAUGACUGGGAGAGACAAAACUAUGGCGACAUCAUCGACAGACUGUCACGACUGGACAGAGACAUCAAUCAGCAUAAUAGACCGGCUGUUAUCAGAGUUGUGCAGGUUCCAAGUGAAACCAACAACAUUAUUCGUUCAGCAGAUGGGAAACCUGGUGAAUGUCAUUAUUGCGGGAUUUCUGUUCACUGGCAAUAAGAAUGUCAGACAAGAAAACAUGAUUUAAUGAGAAGUGGCCAGGAGAAGCAGUGUCCGUCUAAGGGAAAAUGGAAUCAGGACAACAGCCUCAAUGACACAAUGUUAAUGCAGAAAUGUAAGAAGCUCUCUCCGGCUCAGCAGCAGUUUGCUGUAUGCUGUGGAAGUAAACUAAUAGACCCACUCUUACGUCCCAUCUCAGCUGGUGUACAUAUGAAAUCGGAUGGAAUAUAUGUGAACAUGAUGGUUGACAACUUUGCAAAUUUAUUUUUCAUAGAUACGGGUGCUGAAGUCACUGUAUUGCCCAUAUCUUAUGCAAAACAUAUAUGUCCUCAGUACACGGGCAUGAAGAUCAGAGCAACAGGAGUGGAGGGAAGACAGAUAUGAAACAAACCAAACCAUUGUCAAUUUCUAUUGUUCCAAUGAAGAUUGAUCCUGGGGUGUAGAACCUAUUUUAGGCCUUGAUGUUAUUAUGCAACUUGACUCUACAUUGAACAUUUUUGAAUGAAAGGUGAUGUGGCAAAUUAUACAACUGCAGGGAUUUACAGUUCAGAACCAUCCUACGAAGAAAAAAAGAGUGUGGAACUUUGGAUAUGGAACCAGUGUUUUUCACAGGUGUUGCCCAAAACAAUAUAUCAUUAGCAAGGAAGCUAUGGACACUACUAAAGUAGUGAUUUAAGAUCUAUGGGACAUGGGUAUAGUUGAAAAGACACCAUGUAAUCCAGAAACACUGAUGUAUCCUACAGAUACCAUAUUACUUGAACACGACUGUUGUGAGUUGGUUUUGGAUCAGCUCUCUGAUGGGUUUAUACAAUAAUUUGUUGGAAAACCCUGAGUUUAUCUUAUACACAGACGGUUCAAGCAUUGUGGAGGGGGUGUGAGGGAGGUUGGGUAGUUACUACAAUGGACAAUGUGAUAAUACCAGUUACGUUAGAUUUGAGAAAAGCAGACGUUCACUUUAUGAGUGACACAAUGAUUAACUAUUUCAUACAACUCUCUAAUGGGGAAUAACUCCCACAUGAUGUAGUGCCAGGGCAGUGGAUGAUGGUAAAGAAAUGUUUUUUCACUUUUUUGUUUCCUUUGUUACAGGUUAUGAGAAUCUACAGUCUGAAGCUGAAGCAAUAUCCUUCGAUUCAAGGACUGUACCUGAAACGAUACAAGAUCACCGGUGAUGUGCAACCAGUGGAACGGAAGAAGAAUUCCUCACUACUGGCAGACUGUCACAACAUCAUUUCUAAUAGUUAUCUACAGUGGGGAGAACAAGUAUUUGAUACACUGCUGAUUUUGCAGAUUUUCCUACUUACAAAGCAUGUAGAGGUCUGUAAUUUUUUUUAUCAUAGGUACACUUCAACUGUGAGAGACGGAAUCUAAAACAAAAAUCCAGAAAAUCACAUUGUAUGAUUUUUAAGUAAUUAAUUUGCAUUUUAUUGCAUGACAUAAGUAUUUGAUCACCUACCAACCAGUAAGAAUUCCGGCUCUCACAGACCUGUUAGUUUUUCUUUAAGAAGCCCUCCUGUUCUCCACUCAUUACCUGUAUUAACUGCACAUGUUUGAACUUGUUACCUGUAUAAAAUACACCUGUCCACACACUCAGUCAAACAGACUCCAACCUCUCCACAAUGGCCAAGACCAGAGAGCUGUGUAAGGACAUCAGGGAUAAAAUUGUAGACCUGCACAAGGCUGGGAUGGGCUACAGGACAAUAGGUAAGCAGCUUGGUGAGAAGGCAACAACUGUUGGCGCAAUUAUUACAAAAUGGAAGAAGUUCAAGAUGACGGUCAAUCACCCUCGGUCUGGGGCUCCAUGCAAAUACUUGUUCCCCCCACUGUAUGUGGACUGAUACCAGUGUGGAAGUGGCGGUCACUUUUAAAGGACUUGGUGAAUGAUUACCUUGCCGAUAGGAUAAUAGAAUAUCGUCUUGUAGAUAUUUAUUAUUUUUUUUGUGAGUUUCCUCCUAAUACAGGAUGUGGUAGGAAUCGGGACAUCACCAUUACACCUGUUAAUACUUAUUCUCUGUAACUUUGUUUGAAAUCUAUUUCUUAUUGUAACAGCAAGUACAAUGUGCCCUUUGUGUUUUAAAUAAAUGUGAAUGUGAAUGAUUUUAUGCUAACUGCUAGUGUUUUUUAUACUGUCUAUUGUUGAAUGUGAAUGAUUUUAUGCUAACUGCUAGUGUUUUUUAUACUUGUCUAUUGUUGAAUGUGAAUGAUUUUAUGCUAACUGCUAGUGUUUUUUAUACUGUCUAUUGUUGAAUGUGAAUGAUUUUAUGCUAACUGCUAGUGUUUUUUAUACUGUCUAUUGUUUAAUGUGAAUGAUUUUAUGCUAACUGCUAAUGUUUUUUAUACUGUCUAUUGUUGAAUGUGAAUGAUUUUAUGCUAACUGCUAUUGUUUUUUAUACUGUCUAUUGUUGAAUGUGAAUGAUUUUAUGCUAACUGCUAGUGUUUUUUAUACUGGCUAUUGUUGAAUGUGAAUGAUUUUAUGCUAACUGCUAAUGUUUUUUAUACUGUCUAUUGUUGAAUGUGAAUGAUUCUAUGCUAACUGCUAAUGUUUUUUAUACUGUCUAUUGUUGAAUGUGAAUGAUUUUAUGCUAACUGCUAAUGUUUUUUAUACUGUCUAUUGUUGAAUGUGAAUGAUUUUAUGCUAACUGCUAGUGUUUUUUAUACUGUCUAUUGUUGAAUGUGAAUGAUUUUAUGCUAACUGCUAGUGUUUUUUAUACUGUCUAUUGUUUAAUGUGAAUGAUUGUAUGCUAACUGCUAGUGUUUUUUAUACUGUCUAUUGUUGAAUGUGAAUGAUUGUAUGCUAACUGCUAGUGUUUUUUAUACUGUCUAUUGUUUAAUGUGAAUGAUUUUAUGCUAACUGCUAGUGUUUUUUAUACUGUCUAUUGUUGAAUGUGAAUGAUUUUAUGCUAACUGCUAGUGUUUUUUAUACUGUCUAUUGUUGAAUGUGAAUGAUUUUAUGCUAACUGCUAAUGUUUUUUAUACUGUCUAUUGUUGAAUGUGAAUGAUUUUAUGCUAACUGCUAGUGUUUUUUAUACUGUCUAUUGUUGAAUGUUUUUUUAUUGUUUUCUAGAAAGAAAUUUUAAGUAUAUUUCUUUUUAAAAGGGUCUAGGGGGGAGUGUAGGAUUAUGUUGAAGAUAAAUACAUAAUGCAGAGACAGAGGACGAGAGGUCAAAAGGACGAGAAGUCAAUAGAGUAACAACGAUUAAGGGAAAUUGUGUUUUUUCUGUAAUAGGGAAUUAUUGAUCAGUUGUUCAGAGACAUGGGAGGAAUAUGUCUUCUGAAAUCGGGUACUUGUUAUUUGGCCAUUGGCUAGUUUAAUUGAAAGGAAUUCUAAUUGGUCAACCACAGGCUAGGGCUGCGUUAUAAAGCUACAUGCUGUCCCUUGUUCUGGGGAUAGAAUCACAGGAGAGAAGCACUGGAGAGAACCACUGGAGGGAACCACUGGAGGGAACCACUGAGAGAGCAUCACUGAGAGAGCAUCACUGAGAGUGCAUCACGGCGGACAGGAGAUAAUGACCAUCUACCUCUCAGCAUAACAUCUAUGAUUUAUCCUCUUUGAAUAAAUAUCUUUUUCCUCCCCCUGA